CGAGCGGCGGACGGGUGAGUAAUGUCUGGGAAACUGCCUGAUGGAGGGGGAUAACUACUGGAAACGGUAGCUAAUACCGCAUAACGUCGCAAGACCAAAGAGGGGGACCUUCGGGCCUCUUGCCAUCAGAUGUGCCCAGAUGGGAUUAGCUAGUAGGUGGGGUAACGGCUCACCUAGGCGACGAUCCCUAGCUGGUCUGAGAGGAUGACCAGCCACACUGGAACUGAGACACGGUCCAGACUCCUACGGGAGGCAGCAGUGGGGAAUAUUGCACAAUGGGCGCAAGCCUGAUGCAGCCAUGCCGCGUGUAUGAAGAAGGCCUUCGGGUUGUAAAGUACUUUCAGCGGGGAGGAAGGCGUUGAGGUUAAUAACCUCAGCGAUUGACGUUACCCGCAGAAGAAGCACCGGCUAACUCCGUGCCAGCAGCCGCGGUAAUACGGAGGGUGCAAGCGUUAAUCGGAAUUACUGGGCGUAAAGCGCACGCAGGCGGUCUGUCAAGUCGGAUGUGAAAUCCCCGGGCUCAACCUGGGAACUGCAUUCGAAACUGGCAGGCUAGAGUCUUGUAGAGGGGGGUAGAAUUCCAGGUGUAGCGGUGAAAUGCGUAGAGAUCUGGAGGAAUACCGGUGGCGAAGGCGGCCCCCUGGACAAAGACUGACGCUCAGGUGCGAAAGCGUGGGGAGCAAACAGGAUUAGAUACCCUGUAGUCCACGCCGUAAACGAUGUCGACUUGGAGGUUGUGCCCUUGAGGCGUGGCUUCCGGAGCUAACGCGUUAAGUCGACCGCCUGGGGAGUACGGCCGCAAGGUUAAAACUCAAAUGAAUUGACGGGGGCCCGCACAAGCGGUGGAGCAUGUGGUUUAAUUCGAUGCAACGCGAAGAACCUUACCUACUCUUGACAUCCAGAGAACUUUCCAGAGAUGGAUUGGUGCCUUCGGGAACUGUGAGACAGGUGCUGCAUGGCUGUCGUCAGCUCGUGUUGUGAAAUGUUGGGUUAAGUCCCGCAACGAGCGCAACCCUUAUCCUUUGUUGCCAGCGGUCCGGCCGGGAACUCAAAGGAGACUGCCAGUGAUAAACUGGAGGAAGGUGGGGAUGACGUCAAGUCAUCAUGGCCCUUACGAGUAGGGCUACACACGUGCUACAAUGGCGCAUACAAAGAGAAGCGACCUCGCGAGAGCAAGCGGACCUCAUAAAGUGCGUCGUAGUCCGGAUUGGAGUCUGCAACUCGACUCCAUGAAGUCGGAAUCGCUAGUAAUCGUAGAUCAGAAUGCUACGGUGAAUACGUUCCCGGGCCUUGUACACACCGCCCGUCACACCAUGGGAGUGGGUUGC
rnacentral:rRNA from 1 species